AGAACUGGAAGCCCAGUAAUGGGUGCAGGUGACUGGUACUAAUCGGCCGAGGACUUACCACAA
rnacentral:rRNA from 1 species